AUUCAUAAUGACACUAAAUUAUACAAUAUUUUUUUAUUAAUUAUAUUUUAUUUAUUUUAAUAAUUAUUUUUAUGAUGAAGAUGUUUCAUAUAUGAAAUGAACGAAUUGUUUAUUGAAAUCUAUGGUUGUGAAUGAUAAUAAAAGGUGCAAGAUGCUACAAAUAAUUUCGAUUAUGUGUUUUUAAAUUUUGACAUGACCAUUGAAUGCAAUUUUGAACCUAUUCAAACACACUUGCAGAAAAAUUAAAGUAGACCAAAUUGAUUGUAAAUAAAAUGGACAAAAAUUCUAUGCUCAAGUUCCUUGUAAAAAAACAUUUGCUUUACACAUCACCAAAAAAGAGAGCUAAAUGAGUAAAGAAAGUCAUUUACUAUAUCAUAAAUAGUAGCUACCAAUAAGCGAUGUGAGGGUAAUGAUGUGAGGGUAAUUACCAUAUAUAUUUAUAUAAGUAAAACGUGAUGCAAUGCAUCUCUUGCUUAAAGAUGGAGUUAGCUUUGAUUGUGUUAAUAAUUAUAAACUAUUAAUUUGAUGUUGCAUUGGUUUUUAUUUCUUUUGUCGAAUUUCAUUUAGGAAGCACACCUUCCAUAAUAUGAACUUAAAACAAACACUAAAAAAAAUCAGUUUUAAAGGCAAAUUUUAUUUUUGUUAUGAGUCAUAGAUAGAGGGAUGACUGAUUAAUUGUAUUUCUUGUACCUUGCGAAGUUUCUAUAUGAUGUUCUAGUGUCAUUUCUUUUAUGUUUGGGAUUUUUUUUUAUCAUUGACUCUUUGAGAAUAAGUUUAAACAUAUUCCUUGUGAAUUUGUUCUUUGUUGAUCAGUAGUUGUGAUUUGUAAUUUAUUCUUCCAGAAAAUGAACGUGAAGGAGGAUGGUUUUUCAUGUACCAUUUAAAAUUAUGGUCAUUUGCAUGUUUUAGGGUCUUACAAUUCAAUUCUAAUAUUAAAUUGUUUAUGCUACCUUGUUCACAUAAUCGUGGAUGUUAAAAUACUUGUUUAGCCAAUAGGCUAUAUAUUGUGGGCAUUGCCCACUGUAAAUCAUGCCUGAAAAUUUCAUUCAAUUUCUCUGUUGAAAAUGGCAACGGUUGUUUGUUUCUGGAAGUGUCAUUCAGCGAUAACACUUGCGCUUCAUCCUCCACGUACGGCAGGGUUGUGUGUACCAUUUAUGUCCUUUGCCCACGUAUUGCUUCAAUGCAGAUAUUUAUCUUCUUUCCAUGAUAUUUGAAUUGAGUCACAUUUGUUUUUCUUACUAUGCAGACAAAAUAUGUGAUGAAAUACAGGCAUUGCGAUGGAAAGGUCGUUCUCAAGGUCACUGAUGACAAAGUGGUUCAUUAUUCAUAUAUAAUGGCUGGAAGAAGAAGAAGUUCAAUUGUUUGAGGCCGAAAUAAAGAGCCCUUUUAAAAUUGAUGCAACUUCGUCACUUUUGCAUUAUACAACAAUGAUUAAGCAAUUUUUUGGUGAUGGAAGUUUUCUUUAGCGGUGUAACCAUUAACCAUUACAACAAAGUAUACAAGCUCAUAAGAUCGAGUGAAAGGUCACUUAUGUGCCAUCCCUGGAUACAAAAUCAAAUCUUGUCAAAGGCCAAAUGGAAAAGGGAUGCCACAAGAUCUAAUCGUGGGUUAUAUUAGAGAACAAGAGGAAGCCAAUAUGAAAAACAACAAAUCAAAGACUGAUCAUCCUCUUGCCAAGAAAAGCUCAAAGAGGCGUCCUAGUGGCUUAACACAACUGGCUGGCCCACAUCCUUUCGUGCCAAUGCCACUACCUUCUGAACCAAAGAAUGUUUUGGUUACAUGUAAAAGAGCCCCAUUAGAUAGGGCCUUCAAAAAUGAAGUCGGAGAGAUUGUAGAUCAGAGCAUUGCUCGUUGCUUUUAUGACAAUGGGCUUCCUUUCAACAUUGUUAGAUCACCUUGUUGGCCGGAGAUAGUGAAUAGCCUUUGCAAUA